UCUUCGUUGUAUAUAUUUCAAACAAUGAAUAAUAAUGUGUUUUAUCAUUAUUAUUUAAUAAAAAUCGAUUAACAAUGAGAUCGUUCUAUCUGAAAAUAUCGGAAGAUUGAAAUCGUAAAGUUUUGUUGAAUUCUGCGAAAGGCAAUGGGAUUACGGCAUUACAUGAUCGAAGAUGAAUGAAGGCAAUCAAAUUAAAAAGAUUAGGAUAGGUUGGAAGAAAAUAACGCUUUUGCUGUACCUUAACUCACUGUCCACCAUUCGUCUCUAAGCCAUCCUCAGAGUUUUCUCCUCGUCGAUAAAGUCACACGUUCUUCAAAUUAUAUACAAGAAAACAAACAUAUGUAUUGAAUUGGAGCAGCAUUUCUCGCCAAUCAUGCGAUGACUCUACUUUUUGGAUUCGCCGGAAGAUUCAAUUUAAAAAUAGAACUUAAACUUCUGUGAUUUACACCAUUCACUCAUUAAUUCUACUUUUCGAAUUUAUUACAGGAUCUCCCGUCUGAAAGUAGGACAUUCAUUCUGCACAGUCGCUGAUAAAUUGUGUACAGGCUAUAGACAACAAUUCGAUUGCAGCAUCAUUUUUUUUCCGAUCUCAAAUAAUUUGGGUUGUCGUAAUGCAAAAUUAUUUGAAAUAUCCAUGGAAAUACGAAAGCUGUACCAAAAGUAAAUAAUAGAUUCCGAGCAGAAGCAACGUGCCGUCAUCCAGUUCUUGAAGGAAAGGUGCAGGUUGUCGGACAUCCACAGAAGACUACAGAAUGUUUACCGAGCAAUAUAACAGAUCGAUGAAAAAGUUUAACGAAGGACAAACCAGCAUUGAAGACAAAUCACGCAGCAGGAAAUCAUACAGUGGUCUCCCGCUUCGUGGUUUGUCUUCUCUGUUUGACAUUCUCACCUCAUUGCAGUUGUACAAUGUAGUGAGAAUGUCACACAGCGGACGGUAGAACACUUAGAUAUCGGACCACCGAUCAUCAAAGUUUCUUUCGGGUUUUUAGGUAACGAAUAUAUAUAACUACGUUUUGCAGCAUAAUUUUAUAAGAGUGGAUUAGUAGACUUUUAUAGAUGAAUAAGGUUGUGGAUAUAUUCAGUACUUUUGACUGUAAAUUAGAUUACGCCCCACUAUAAAUUGGCUAGACCUAUGGAUCAAAGUGAGAAGAUUGCAGUUUUUGAGUUUUGUAUUAUAAGAGUAGGCCUAAUAAACAUUCCGAGUGUGUGGAUUAGGGUGGGUGAAACUCUAUACGUGAAGUUCAUGUGCAGAGUUACACGCAUUCUAAUUCUAGAUGGAACUCUCACACGGCCACCUCCACGUGGUGAGUUCUGGGUUGUCAUUCGUCGAGAAAAGACGAAAGGCAAGCGAAGAGCCGUGUAAUUAACUCUUUUCACGUUUCUCUCAAUGUUCUUACUGUAAUUUGUGUGGCGAGUAACG